rnacentral:pre_miRNA from 16 species
CAGACUGUGGACAUUUUGGGUGUGUGAUUUGUGGCAAAGUGAUAUGCAUUUGAUCAUCCCCUUGUUGCAAACCUCACGCCAAAGUUGAAUCCCA